CGCUAGGCCUGACCGUCGUGGAUAUCCUGCCGGCGGGAGGGCGCUUUAUCCGACGGCCGGCCGAUAGCAACAAAGGGCAGGAGCAGGG
rnacentral:misc_RNA from 1 species